GAUGAAGAACGCAGCGAAAUGCGAUACUUGGUGUGAAUUGCAGAAUCCCGUGAACCAUCGAGUCUUUGAACGCAAGUUGCGCCCGAAGCCAUCAGGUUGAGGGCACGUCUGCCUGGGCGUCACAUAUCGUUGCCCAAUGCCUAUUGCAGUGCAAUAGGAAUUUCUAGGGCGAAUGAUGGCUUCCCGUGAGCGUUGUUGCCUCGCGGUUGGUUGAAAAUCGAGUCCUUGGUAGGGUGUGCCAUGGUAGAUGGUGGUCGAGUUAGAACGAUACCGAUCAUGUGCAUGCUCCCCAAAAUAUGGCCUCUAUGACCCACACGUGUCUUUUGACGCUCAUGACGAGACCUCAGGUCAGGCGGGGCUACCCGCUGAAUUUAAGCAUAUCAAUAAGCGGAGGA
rnacentral:misc_RNA from 1 species